GAGUUACGUAACUUUGAUACAUGUACCUAUAGCUGCCUAUCUCUGAUAACGAAAAAUCGGCAAACAAAUUUAAUACAAUAAUUGCUUUGACAAUCUCGUAUACCGAUUAUACGAUACGUGUGGUAACGUGUCCAAACCUGCAGUAGACUUAUGGUCCAAGAGUAUUUCUGCCAAUAAUAUUAUGUCGGCUGCCGGCCAAGUAUACUGGAUGCCAUUGAUUUUAUUGGUCAAUUAUGAAAUAUCAAUGGUAGGUAUACGAAGGUGUACACUAUACUUAUAAUAUUAUAUUAAUGGGUAUUGUCAGGUUUUUUUUUUUCGGUUUUUCGGUCGCUCGUGUGAGAUGUUCGUAUUUCGUGAAUGGAGAAAAUAAUGU